GAUGAACGCUGCGGCGUGCCUAACACAUGCAAGUCGAGCGAUUCUCUUCGGAGAAGAGCGGCGGACGGGUGAGUAACGCGUGGGUAACCUGCCCUGUACACACGGAUAACAUACCGAAAGGUAUGCUAAUACGAGAUAAUAUACUUUUAUCGCAUGGUAGAAGUAUCAAAGCUCCGGCGGUACAGGAUGGACCCGCGUCUGAUUAGCUAGUUGGUAAGGUAACGGCUUACCAAGGCGACGAUCAGUAGCCGACCUGAGAGGGUGAUCAGCCACAUUGGAACUGAGACACGGUCCAAACUCCUACGGGAGGCAGCAGUGGGGAAUAUUGCACAAUGGGCGAAAGCCCGAUGCAGCAACGCCGCGUGAGCGAUGAAGGCCUUCGGGUCGUAAAGCUCUGUCCUCAAGGAAGAUAAUGACGGUACUUGAGGAGGAAGCCCCGGCUAACUACGUGCCAGCCGCCGCGGUAA
rnacentral:rRNA from 1 species